rnacentral:pre_miRNA from 1 species
AUAAUAAUUCCUCCUUCCGAAAUUAUUUGUCGUCGAAAUGGAUGUAUCUAGACGUAUUUUUAGUUCUAGAUACAUCUAUUUUUAUCUAUUUCUGCGACAAGUAAUUCAGGAUGAAGUAUAUA